rnacentral:lncRNA from 1 species
GUCGGGGGACUCUGUGAAAGGGUUCAGGGAACUUCAGGUUCGACGUCGGAAGGGGCUUCGAUGGCGGCGGGCAUCGGAGCAGGUGCGGCCGAGCUUGUCCCCUCUGUCCUGGCUUUCUUCAUCGACCCCGAAGUGGAGGCAUCCUUCCUCUUGUGGGUCUUAAGACCCUGGGUUAACCUUCGAGCCAUGCUUGCAUCCAUGUCUGCGAUAAAAGA